rnacentral:rRNA from 1 species
UACGGAGGGUGCGAGCGUUGUCCGGAAUCACUGGGCGUAAAGGGCGCGUAGGCGGCAUGCCAAGCGUGUGGUGAAAGCCCGGGGCUCAACCCUGGGAUGCCGGUGGAUACUGUCGGGCUCGAGUCCGGAAGAGGCGAGUGGAAUUCCUGGUGUAGCGGUGAAAUGCGCAGAUAUCAGGAGGAACACCAAUGGCGAAGGCAGCUCGCUGGGACGUGACUGACGCUGAGACGCGAAAGCGUGGGGAGCAAACAGG